rnacentral:lncRNA from 1 species
CUCUGAAGCUGCAUGCUGCCCAAGCACAGCAAAGAUUUUAUUGUUGUUUUUUGUUUUCCCCUCCUUCUCACUGCCUACAGAGCCAAAGGGCCUGUUUGUUUUCCUCUUAGUUAUCAGAAAGGUUUAUUUGCGAUUGCUUGAGAGAGGAAAAAAACCCUCUGUAGCCACAGGCAGACAAGCUCAGUGCUCAGGAACAUAAUGGCUGGAGCCUGCAGGCCCAUAUGCUCGCCAUCCUGUGAGGUGGAAGGCCAGCUCCGAUCAUCUCCAGCUGCUCAGGAUACAAUUGAUCAGGAUCUCCUACACACUGCAACCUUUUACAGCCCACUAUCGCUCAAUCCAGAAGCACAGACUGCUAAUAGCAUGAGAUGAAUAAGUGAGUACAUAUCUAUUUUUUAUUACUCAAGCCAUUUCAAGAAUUCUCAGAUAAUUAACUCUGAAUACUUUUUCAUCUGUUUUCCCUCAAAAAUCUUCCCAUUUGACUUAAAACCCUUAUUUGCGGUCCAAGCAGCAGCACACUUAAUCACACUGAACAAGGCACAGCAGCUUUUGAAGAUGCCUUAAAGCAUCUGAAGAAUCUGAAACCAAGGCAUAGGAAAUAGGAUUGCUCUCAUGAAGCCUUUCCUUGCCUCAAAAAGAUAUGUGCCCCCCUCCUAGGCCUUAGUAGAGACAGCAGAGAUCCCAACCCCAGUAGCAGGGGAUGCAGCACCCUUCAGUUUGGGUGUUUCUGCAACACUAUGUCAGCAUAGACAAACACUGACUCAAGGCAACACACUACUGAAUCAAAAUAUUUUUAUUUGAUAAGACAAACUCAACAGCUGUCUAGACUUCAGCUGACCAGACUCACAAUGGAUGUUUCCUUUUCAACUUCCCCUGUUUACCCUCAUCCCUGCAUCCCUGCCAUCAUUCUGUUUGGCGAUGGUGGCCAAAUAUGUUCCCUUCUCCUUGCCUCCAAAUCUCUCCAUUGAACCUUCAGAGGCCCAGUUCUUCUGGAUCAUCUCCCACUGCUUGCUUACAGGGAGCCAAUGCAACAGGACUCUGGACUUCUUUGGGAAAUCCCGCAUGUGGCUUUAAUGAUAAACAAUUAUUUUAGUGGUUUGCUUUCAAGGUGUUGUACAAGUACUUCCCACAACCCACUAAGGAAGUAAAAAGCCUCGUUUCAAUUGGUAAAGGACUUAAAGAAUUCAGUGGGCCUUGCCAAAAUGCCCUUGUCUACCUAUUCUAAUAAAAUAAUCCUGCCCCUGAUCACAGCUACACCCAGCCUGCAAGUUCUCUUGCACAAAGCACACUUGAGAGGUCACAGUGGGAGGUCUAUUCUCACAUCAAAUUAAAGCCAGACAGAAUCAAUUAAAGCAAAAAAGGAUGGGGUCUGCUGAGAUGACAGAAGGCAUUUGGGGCAAAUGCUCACAGCUGAAUGCAGAAGAGAUGCCAUUGCUCAAGCUUUCUUGCUCCUCCAUAGAAGCUGGGGCCCAACAAUAUGUCUCCAGAAGACUGGCAACUGCUGGUUGUAAUAUUUUGCGGUGCCUCAUGAUGCUUAAUAGAAAGAAGAGUAAAGUUUCAGAAGAAUAGAAUAGGAUAUGAAUGGGACAUCAAAAAUCAUCAGAGGAGGGACUUUUAGACACUCCCUUCUGUUAUUCAGAGAUGACUAAUUCCAGUGAGGGCCCUGAAGUAAGAACAGCAAAUUCACAAAAAAUCCCCACCAAACUCACAGAUGGAUUUCAUUCCUCUGUAAGACUCAUUCUCCACAAGAUCUGUGUAUUUACACUUGCUCCUAUAGCCCACCAGAAAUGCUCUCUGAUGACCCAAGGCCAUUCCCCUAGGCUUGCCUGAAGCCAGCCCUGCCUGCAGGGCCUAUGGCAGAGCAUUUCAGCCAACACCCUCAACAACAGUUGCUGGCUUUGUAACUCUAAUUCCCUCCAGGCCAUACCCUUCUCUUCCUCAUCUGGCAUGUUCAGCCUACAUGUUCAACUUGUCACCUGCAAGGGAGAUCAGGGGUCAGCUGGGUGCUUGAACAUCUCUCAGCUUGGGGCACUUUGAAUCAAUUCCAACUCUCCCCACUCCCAAGAAAGGUGUUAAUUGGAACAGGAAAAGAACGAGAGAAAUAAAUUUUCUUUAGAGAGAUGCUGACACAGUCCCCAGUUAGUGAAGGAGGAUUUUUCGGUGCUGUUUCCUCCCCUCUUCACUGUAAAUUCUCCAGUGUUCCAAUAACAGCUCCCUAAUCCCCAGACAUCCAGGGGGGUCAAAUGCCUCUGCAUCCUGAGAUCCCUAGCUUCCACUGAGAGCAAGUGAGCAGCAUUAGCUCUUCUGAGUUUGCCUGGCUGGGCUGAUUUGUGGUGUGAACACACACUAAUUAGCCAUUUAACUUAAGAACUAAGACUCCCAGGAGAAAAAGAUUUCAGAGGGGAAUUCGGAGCUCUUCAGGCUGAAAUUAUCAUCAAGUGCCUAAUGUAACUGCUCUGCUUCUCCUUUCCAAGACUUCUUUUCCUCCAUCUGACUAUCUAAUAAAACAGGCAGUAUGAAUGCUUCCACGUCUUUACCAAACCACGGGUGGCGUAUCCUCUCUUGAAGUCACUUGGGUAAAUUCACAACACAUUUUUGUCUUCUGGAUUUGAAUAGGGAAAAGGAAGGUGGCUGUUCAAGAGAUAAGCAACAAGAGAUACUUCAUACCUCCUACACAGUGGUUUGCAACUCACAGAAUACAGUUGAAAACUCUAAGCCUACCAGCCUGUAAAGCAAUUCUUAAAGAUGAAAGAUGCUCUGAAAGCUAGACUUGAACUGGAUUGACUUUUAAAUAUGAUCAAAUCUUAGUUUAAAUCUCAAUCCAAGCAUCAAAUCUGAGUCUGAAUUUUAAAACAAGUCUUACGUUAGCUGGACAUUCACAAUUAUUCGAAAGUCUCUUUAAACAACCCCUAUGAAUUGCUAUUGUUGGCCACUUUGCUUAUGUAUAUCCAGAGACUGAAAAGCCUGUAUUUAUGGUAUUACCAAUUCCAGCACUGCCAGGCCAACCAACCUGAACUUAGCACAAUACUUUCCCCAGAUUGUUCCCUUCCUGACAGAAAAGACAAGAGACUGACUUUGUGCAUGGUUUGGAAAGCUUCCAAAUAGUUUAGCAGGGCCCUGUUAAGUGAUUUAAUCCUCUGAAAAGAUGGAAGCUGUGCAAUUUUUGGCUUUACAUAAGAUAAUAGCCCAACUUACUAACUGUAAAAUAAAACUUACUGGGUAGGCUAGUCUACUGGAGGAAGCCUUGGCCUGGGAUUUGGGAGACUUGCAGCAGGAUUCAGAUCACCUGAUCAAGUACCUAAACCAUGACUUUGUUCAAACACCCAGAAUAUCCACUCUCCAGUGUUUCCUAUUUCAGAAGGUCCCAGAUCUCAUCAACGCCUAUUUCAGGAUGCAAUAUCCUCCCCUGCAGCUGUGUAGAAGCCCUUCUAGGUAGGUAAAUUACAGACAUAAUCCCUUUUUCUGUAGCAGUCCAGAUCCUGACAGCCAUCCAAAGUUCCUGACCAGCGAAAGUGCUCUUACAAGGUUCCCAGCUCAGCAGAGGACAACACCAUGAUGCUUAUGGAUGCAUCUGACUCUCAGUUAAUUCUACAAAUUACCUAGGCACCCACAUGCCAUUGUCUUUGGGCAAGCAUCCACAUCAGGUGCCACAAUGCCUAAGGCAGGCAUGUAAACUAGGUAUUACAGUAUGAGAUUGGAUUUCCAAUCCUGAAUUUGAAACUGUCCUGCUAGACGAUUUUUAAGACACUUCACCUCUGAGUGCCUCUCUUUAAAAUGUUAAGACAGGUAACAAUCACAGUGCAUUGGAAGUAAGACAGCAAUUAGUUCUAGGUGCUUGUGAAUAAAACAUGCUUUACUGAAGACAUGAAAAGACUCAAUAAAUGGGUCGCUAAAUGAAUCUGAAGACCUUUGUGAUACUGGAUAAUUUGGCUAAGAUAGGAUAGUAUUAGAAAGUAAAACCAAGCAGAUGUCUUGGUCACUAUUGUGACUCCACAGAACUAAAUUCUUGUUACCAGUAAACAAUAGCCCUUCCACUUCUAACAAGAGAACCUGUCUUUAGUCUGCCACAAAACAAACAAACAAACAAAAAAACCUGUUAAAAUCUUUUUGAUGUUGCUACAAGGAAAGUGUGAAAAACCUGCCAUUAUGACAGCUCUCCCCAUCUCCGGAGCCAAGCUCUACAGACAGCCAAUAUCAUGUGCGUCCACAUGUGACGGAUCUUACUUGGGCAUGAAAUUUUCAUUAGUUCUUGAGCAGUGCACAGAGGCAGGGUUUAACCAAUCUAAUGAGCUAACACAUACCACUGCCUGACUGGUUAUAGCAGCAAAAAAAGCCAAGAAGGGAAUUUGAUUGAUCCUGUAUACCACUCUUGAUAUAUUUUUCCACCUUACGCUACAACAGCAUUACCAGUUCUUCUACAACAGAGAAGAGAAUGCUACAGGCCAGUAACUUGAGAAGAUCUUUGUUUCCCUCUAUAAUUUCUGUAGACACAAUAAAAAUGAUUUUAUCAGUGAGAAGUGACUCCAGUUUGUUCUUCAGUAGAACAACUUCUAGAGGAAGUCCUGAAAACACAAAAAGCAAGGGUGCUUGUUUUUGUUUUCUGAAUAGAAACUGCCAGACAAAUCCUCAAGCUCUCUAAUACAUGUGAAAUCUUAAGUAACAUCAGCAUCUCUUAGAACUCUGAGCUGGAAUCAAAGACCAUAGAAAAGACCUUUCAGAGUGCAGUAAACUGGCAGUUCACUUCAUCUCACAAGGCAACCUAUUCCUCCUCUUCAGUAUGAUGCCCACAGGAGCUGAACUCUGAGCAGAACCCAUUAAAACUAAGUUCUCCCUUCUGUGUGUUCUUACUCCAAGCAUAGCACUACGCAUAACAGAAAAAUGACAGCACCCACUCCCAAGAAAUUAAAUCCCUGGAUAGCCUUUGAAACAUCUGAAUAUCAUAUUAAUGUAAGAAGGCUUAUACUCCUAGCCCCCGGUCCCCCAGUAUUACCAAGAAGGUACUAACAGCAGACAAUACAAGCACAGAACACUUUUUCAAGCUCCUCUUGCAUCAUAGCUCUGGACACCAGAAAAUUCCUGUAGUUUUCUGAGAAAGAAAAUAUUCACAUCUCAAUGAAAGGAAAAAUAAAGUCACCAUCACCUCAAGAUGGGAAGAAUUUCAGGUGACAUAAGAAUAAAAGUAACCCAUAGAUUGAAAAAGAGCAAGUUUGGCCUCAAUAACAUUUGAACAAAACAUUUGUACUUGAAAUAUCCAAACCAGGGGUAUGUUUCCCAGCAAGGAAUCCUGCCACUGAUACAUAUAGGUCCAGGGCUUUCUCCUCUAAAGACCGAGAUAACAUUCAGAAGAUGAUCCAAUAUACAACAGUCCAGUUUCACUGCACGUCUUCACACAGCUGGACCAACAGCCCACUCAGAGGCAAAUCACAGAAAGAAAGGCUGUGAGCUCUGUGAGUACUAAUGGAGGCUCUUUACAGCUCCUCGCAGAGCACUCACUUUCAUGCUGACAAGCACUGUCUGCGAUCCGCAGGAGCGACUCGCGUUCCUUUGCCCACGAAGCCGCCCGUCUGUCCCGGCCCGCGUCGCGCAGCCACGCAGGACCAUGGACAGCAGUCCCGCGGCGUGGCACGGCGCUCGGCCGCCCGGCCCUGGAGCCCCGGCACCUGGCAGCUUCCAGCCAUUUUUAAUUAAUUACCCUCGGCUAGGUGAUGAAUUCACUUGUAUAAAGUGCCUGGAACCAAUUCUGUGCAUCCUGAGGUGCUGCAGUCCUCCAGUGAGCGCACGUUAGUCCAAGGAAUAUCACUAAAUGGAGUGUAUAAAAAAGAUGGAGACUUAUUUUUUAUGUGGUCUGAUAGCGAUAAUGAGGAGGACUGGUUUUAAACUAAAAGAAGGGAGGAUGAAGUUAGAUGUUAGGGGGAAAUUCUUUACUCAGAGGGCUGUGAGGCCCUGGCACUGCUGCCCACAGAAGUGUGGGUACCCCAUCCCUGGUGGUGCCCAAGGCUACAUUGGAUAGGACCCAGGGAAGCCUGAGCUGGUUGGGGGGCAGCCAGCUCACGGUGGGGGAGGGUUGAACUAGAUGAACUUUAAGGUCCCUUCCAACCCAGGCUAUUCUAUGGUUCUAUGAUUGCCACUGCUGAGAAGAAAGUCUUAGUGGAACACCUUGGUCAGUCUUUCUACUGUUUUGUACACAAAAGCCUGUUCUCCAGUCUGAUAACUAGGAUGUAAUGACAGCAUUUAGUGGAACACCUAUGAGCCUCUCUCAGCAUCCAUGGUUACAUAGCCCCUGGCUUUCAAGACUCACAAACAACUCCCGUGCAAAGCCAAGUUGUUAAACAUCCACAUACUCUGUUUUCUCUGCAUCUCCAUUCAUGCCUUGUGAAUUCAUAAAACAAGCAAGAAACAGUGUGAUGGUGCCUCAUUUGUGUAUCAACUAUUUUAUACAACUGUAUUUACAACUGUGCCACACUGGGUGCAUAUAGCCUUCCAUAAAGAAAGAAGGGAUGGUGCAUUAUCUCUGCCUUAGUACAAUAUCAAUAUCAUUUUACUGAGGACUAAUUAUUAAUUCUCUCACUUAGAAAUUUUCACAGAAGACUAUAAGUAGACUAUCAGCCAAAUUUAACUAGCUGCCAGCAGCCACUCAGACAAAGAACACAUUACUAAGAAUCUACAAGACCAGUGAUCCUAUAAGGUUUCGUUCUUAUUCAGCAUCCAAAGUUCAACUUGGAGGAUGAGGAAAAUGAGAGAAAUGGCUAGUGACAGUAAGCCUUGAUGGGGUCAUGGGCUUUGCAACAGCUUCAACAUGCAGGCGGGUGAAAACAUCACUCACAAAGUAAAGGGACAGAGGAAAGAAAUGAAAAAGGGGGAGGGGAGGGAAGGAAAGAAAAAGGGAAGGUUGAUGGACAGUUGGACUUGUUGAGGGUGAAAUCAAUUAAAGUGCAUCAAAUCCAGAAUUCAUGCUUUUUCAAAGUGACAAAUAUGUGCUGGAAACUGAGAAAGACGAAGGGAAAAUAAUGUCUUUGACCUCCCAGAGACCGGCUGUUCCUUCCGUCAGAGGAGCCAAAAGUGAAGUGAGAUGCAUUCAUGAUAAAUUGUAACAGCCAGGCAGCCACCUUAAAAAAGAACGAGGUGAAAAGGUUACAGAAGGGACCCAAAAUGCAAAGAAUUCAACCAAACAUCAAGAUAAAUCAACUCAGGCCCUUGUGUAUGCGUGCCCAGCCUUCACAGAGCUGCUCCAGCUCAUCUCAAUUUGUUAGUCUUACUUAAAGUGUAAGAGACACACACAAACACAGCUUGUUUACCAAAGCUUUUGUAAACAGUGUUCCAAAAGAUCGACUCAGUGAAGGCUGAGGCCUUUCCAAGCCGAAGGAUGCAUUGACCACUUUACCUGUGGCAACUGCUAAACAGCUAGAGCAGGUCUUCAGCGCACAUAAAUACCCUGCAUUCUGUUCAAUUCAGAUGAGUUUUGGGUAAAACUUUUUAAGGAGCUAGAGACCUUGUUCUUAAACAGUAUGGAAAGCAAAUAUUCUCAAAGCUUCAGAAAGGGAAAUCUUGGGGUAUGCCUUAUUAUUUUCUCGCAUUUAUAGAUAAUUUUCUGGCUUUCAGCUUCAAAGCACCAUAGAAAUGUUAGUCUAGAUGCACUGCAGCUUUAGAUCUUUUCACUUGCUUGCAAACAGAAAACAUUCAAUUUGAUCAUUACUAUCAUGGAGUUUAACACAAAGCUUGAAUACCAGAAAAUCAGAGGGUACAAGAUAUCUACUAAUAAAAUUUGUUUGAAACAUUCCUUUAAACAUUAUGCCCCUCUGGAAAACAUGACUUUACAGCACCAAUACAUACAUUCUCAACUCACUACAUGCCCAAGCAAAUGUCAAGGUAAAACUGAACUAAACAUUAAAAAAAAUGAUUCACCUCCCCCAGCACUGACGUUUUCCACGGAGAGGAACAACUACAUGCACAGCCAACUACGGUUAAAGUUCUCCUCCUCAAUCAGUUCUAGCAAAAAGCUCCCCCAGUGAUGUACACAGUACUUUAAGUGAAUCAAAGUCAGUCAAAGCAGUCUUUUCAGGGGAUAUUUAGUGCAAUUCAGUACACUUGUUCACAUAAGACAGGGUAUACCUAAUACACCCCCCAUUCAGAUGCUCAGACCUUGACAUCAUACUGACUCCCAGACUUAGAGGAGUUUUGUGAUACCUGCUUCUUCUCGAACUUUUAGUAAUAGCAAUCAAUCUUACCAUUAGACCUUCGAGUAAAAGUGGCCCAAGCCAGAUAGACCUUUGCAGAGGUCACUGAAGACAGCAUGUGUGCUCUCCUUUCUUGAGCUGUUACUGGCACUGAGGGGACUAUAACAGGUAGUUCACAGCAGUCCAGGUACCAUCAGUUGAGCCUCUUAACACAUAGCUGACUGCUCUGUGGAUGGUCAUGCUCGUGUAGUCCUAAGCAUGGGAGAUGCAGGAGAUUCCCAGCUGCACUGGGGAAUUUCUGCUGCCUGGGAUCCAAGCUGGCAUCAAGAGCUUACUGUUGCAAACACUGGCACCAAGGGGAAGGAAGCUCAUAUUGACACUGUGGCUGUGAGGAAGCUUAGCUAUCAAGUCCUAGCUGGCAUCCUCACAACUCUGCCUUCAGAAAGCACUGGUGAUCAUCUAGCCAACUCCUCCUGACAGAUGCCCACCCCACUGUUGCAUUCUUCUUCACGACAACCCUCUCUGGACGGUCCCUUCCCCGAAACAGCAUGAUUCUCUCAGGGAGACACGAGUUCACAUCAACAAAUUCUUCCCGACACUGCCCUGAAGCACUUUCGCUAUGAUCAGCUAUUCAGAGUGAUGGGACACACUAGUUAGAUCUCUCUGUGUGUUUAUCAAUCCCUUCUCAGCCAUUUUCCUCUGUAAAUCCGUCAAACCUCUUUUUUCAAGCUCUGUGGGAACAGUUAGGAGCUAUCUCCUCAGAGGUGCCUGCCCUGCCACUUGGAUUUCAUCCUCUUCUGGAGGAGAUGGCUGCCAGCAGCCAGAAGGCUGACCCAUGCAGUGCAGGCACAACAGCAACACUGCUACUGCCAGUGCCCCUGGAGUGGAUCAGUCCUCGUGAAAACCUCUUAGGAUAUCCGCUGCUCCUGUGCAGGAGUCAGAGAGGGCUACUCUUAAACUGGGACAAAGGGAGAAUGUGAAAAGCACAAGGAGGAAGUCAAGGGAGUGGGGAUUCUGUAAUCCUUCAAAUCAGAAACAAGCACCUUGUUCCAAGCUGAACCAGGAUAUGAAUCACGCUGCUCCAGGGGACAACGGCAUUUUACAGUAUUUCAAGGACACAAGACCUACAGGUACAUUUAACUUCUCACGCAUAUCAAUAUUUCAACUCUCUACUGCUAUGAUCCCUAGCCAAUAUGAUGCAAGACAUUUAUAUGGUAACAAAUCAAGAAAAGAAUCAAUUACAUUGCUACAACAGAUGUAAAUGAAGCCACAUACACCACCAAUAGAUUUGGGUCUUGUAAAGCUCCUUUCAUCACUCCAGGAAACUUGGAGCUUUAAAAGACGUGCAUCUUCCCUUUUCAGUAGGGACUAUCAGAUGGUGUUUGCCUUAUAUUAAUGCUCACAGCCUUCAUGGAUGGCAGUGAAUUGCCAGGCAGUCUAAUUCAUCAUAGAUGCUGUCCCGUAACACUAGAGAACACAGCCUAGAUACAGUUUGAUUGUGCAGAUCUAGGUCAGCAUCCUGCAUCCUGACAAACGUCAGAUGAGAACACUUAUUUCUCCUUUCACACUUGUCAUCAGCCAGGCUGGUUAUCAGCUCCAUUUGCAGCCAUGGAAUGAGGCCCAAAGCCACAAAGUGACUUGGCUCAGGCCUCUUUGCAAGCCAGUGCCUCCAGGAAUCAAGCCCAUGGAAGCAGCCUCCAGGUCCUCAAUGCCACCACCCAAAGCCAGGCCACAAUCAUAACACUAACUCACAGUGCAGCUGGGAAGUUAUAUACAGUGGAGGGCCAAUAAAUGCCAUUUGUAGAGAUCAGCACUUAGAUUUCUGAAACAUCUACCUGAUGAGUAUACCACCAUGUUUCUGAUGGCCUGUAGAGCUUUCCUCAUAAUAACAAAAAUACCAGAAUUUAGGACAACACCUACUGUGUCCCAACAAGCUGCCUAUUCUUUCUUUGCUCACUAGCCAGAAGGUUAUGGAUCCUUUUCUUCAAGCCCUGCAGAAUGGGGCAGGAAUCUCACAGAACAACCUUUCGUGCUCUAUUUCAUCAAAACCACUGCAUGCAAGCAUAGAGACAAACAUGAGAUUAGACAUACGAAAUCAAUGGAACAUUUUACCAUCCAAAAAAAGGGCUCUGUCACUAUGAUCGAAUAGCUUCUGCUCCUGCUUCUGAUGUCUCAUGUCAGGAGGGGCAGAUGAGAAAGGGGCACGUGGCAGAAACAGCUUCACAAAAUAGAGUCUGGUAACUGGCGACCAGACAGCUCCGUAUCAGACACAUCUACAAGGAACAAGAGGUUCUCAAGAACCAGACAGCAACUGUUAGCCUUUUAGGAGUGAAAUUUGUCUGUUUGUCCAAAAAUAUUUGCUAUCUGAACAUCAGCAAUUUUUAUUUCUAUUUUGGAGAUUUUGUUGAAUUCCACUAAAUUGCUUUCAUUCGCUGCAUGAAACCUUCCAUCUACUCGGUGCUUCGGUUGUUUUUUCCAUCUCUUCUAAACUCUUUUUC